rnacentral:SRP_RNA from 4 species
AGUCAGGAACCAUGCGAAAGAGCGCCGCCCAACCCCGCCAGGUCCGGAAGGAAGCAACGGUAAGCGGAGGCUCUUUGCGCCGUGGUCUUCCUGGCCGCG